rnacentral:rRNA from 1 species
UACGUAGGGGGCGAGCGUUGUCCGGAAUUACUGGGCGUAAAGAGCGUGUAGGCGGAUUUUUAAGUCAGGUGUGAAAGACCGGGGCUCAACCCCGGGAUUGCACUUGAAACUGGAAGUCUUGAGGGCAGGAGAGGAAAGUGGAAUUCCUGGUGUAGCGGUGAAAUGCGUAGAUAUCAGGAGGAACACCAGUGGCGAAGGCGGCUUUCUGGACUGACCCUGACGCUGAGACGCGAAAGCGUGGGGAG